rnacentral:rRNA from 1 species
GCUGACACGUUUCCUGGAGCGUCGGUAAGACAGGGGUGGCCAUCGUUGUUCGGAGUGAUGGGGCGUCAAGGGCGCGUGUGCGGCCGUGCAUUUCUGCCGGGACAUCCCGCGGCUUAACUGAGGACGUGCGGAAGAAACUGCAAGGCUCGAGUCCGGGAGAGGGGGGUGGAAUUCCCAGUGUAGCGGUGAAAUGCGUAGAUAUUGGGAGGAACACCGGUGGCGAAGGCGGCCCCCUGGACCGGUACUGACGCUGAGGCGCGAAAGCGUGGGUAGCAAACGGGAUUAGAUACCCGAGUAGUC